UUACAAUGGAGAGUUUGAUCCUGGCUCAGGAUGAACGCUAGCGGCAGGCCUAAUACAUGCAAGUCGAACGGGAUCCACCAGCUUGC
rnacentral:rRNA from 1 species